rnacentral:rRNA from 1 species
UGGGGAAUAUUGGGCAAUGGGCGAAAGCCUGACCCAGCAACGCCGCGUGAAGGAAGAAGGCCUUCGGGUUGUAAACUUCUUUUAAGAGGGACGAAGAAGUGACGGUACCUCUUGAAUAAGCCACGGCUAACUACGUGCCAGCAGCCGCGGUAAUACGUAGGUGGCGAGCGUUAUCCGGAUUUACUGGGUGUAAAGGGCGCGUAGGCGGGAAUGCAAGUCAGAUGUGAAAUCCAAGGGCUCAACCCUUGAACUGCAUUUGAAACUGUAUUUCUUGAGUGUCGGAGAGGUUGACGGAAUUCCUAGUGUAGCGGUGAAAUGCGUAGAUAUUAGGAGGAACACCAGUGGCGAAGGCGGUCAACUGGACGAUAACUGACGCUGAGGCGCGAAAGCGUGGGGAGCA